AUGACUUUAAUAGGUCCCUCUGCAUGGCAUGGACGGCAGAGUACCCUCUCUUAGUUGAAAAUGUUAAGCCACCAGAUGGAAUCACAGUCUAUAGAGGUAAUUACACUUGUUUGACGGGAUUGGUAAAUUCAUGGUUUUUCUAAAGGUUAUUGCGCCACUUACAGAACUGUUCCUAUACGCUUGUUGCAACACCAUACCAGGUCAUUGG